rnacentral:rRNA from 1 species
GAUGAACGCUGGCGGCGUGCCUAAUACAUGCAAGUCGAGCGAACAGACGAGGAGCUUGCUCCUCUGACGUUAGCGGCGGACGGGUGAGUAACACGUGGAUAACCUACCUAUAAGACUGGGAUAACUUCGGGAAACCGGAGCUAAUACCGGAUAACAUGUUGAACCGCAUGGUUCAACAGUGAAAGACGGUCUUGCUGUCACUUAUAGAUGGAUCCGCGCCGCAUUAGCUAGUUGGUAAGGUAACGGAUUACCAAGGCAACGAUGCGUAGCCGACGUGCGAGGGUGAUAGGCCACCCUGGAGCUGAGACACGGUCCAGAGUCCUGCGGGAGGCAGCAGUAGGGAAUCUUAGGCAAUGGGCGAAAGCCUGACGGAGCAACGCCGAGUGAGUGAAGAAGGUCUUCGGAUCGUAAAACUCUGUUAUUAGGGAAGAACAAAUGUGUAAGUAACUAUGCACGUAUUGACGGUACCUAAUCAGAAAGCCACGGCUAACUACGUG